GUGAUUUGAGCUGGAUCCUCACUCAUUUUAUAGUGCCAUCUAGUGGGCAAAAUGUCCAACCGUAACUAAAUGAGAAAUAAAAGGAGCCUCUCUCGUUUCUCCAUGUUGGAGCAUGGUUCAUCACUACAGAUGAUCAGAUCUGUUCCAUAUAGCCUGAAUUACAUCCUGCUUUUUGCCUUAUACCCCAGCACCAUUGUUGCAUGUAUUCAGGAUCUUAAUUUUCAAAAAAACUUCAAUUAGAAUUACAAAGGGUUAAAACAUUGCAUACUUAAUGGUUUUUCCUUUU